rnacentral:rRNA from 1 species
CCUACGGGAGGCAGCAGUGGGGAAUAUUGGACAAUGGGGGGAACCCUGAUCCGGCGACGCCGCGUGAGUGAAGAAGUAUUUCGGUAUGUAAAGCUCUAUCAGCAGGGAAGAAAGAAAUGACGGUACCUGACUAAGAAGCCCCGGCUAACUACGUGCCAGCCGCCGCGGUAAUACGUAGGGGGCAAGCGUUAUCCGGAUGUACUGGGUGUAAAGGGAGCGUCGACGGCGAUGCAAGUCUGAAGAGAAAGGCGGGGGCCCAACCUCCGGACUGCCUUGGAAACUGUAUGGCUGGAGUGCAGGGGAGGUAAGUGGAAUUCCUAGUGUAGCGGUGAAAUGCGUAGAUAUUAGGAGGAACACCAGGGGCGAAGGCGGCUUACUGGACUGUAACUGACGUUGAGGCUCGAAAGCGUGGGGAGCAAACAGGAUUAGAUACCCCUGUAGUC